GUAGGUGAACCUGCGGAAGGAUCAUUAAAUGAUAAGCUGCAUGCUACGCAUGUGACUUGCUAUCAUAAACCACCGUGUAUCGUACCUGUUGCUUUCGUGAGGCGCCGGGUUGUAUUUUACUGUCAGCCAGGCCGCCUAACAUGAUUGAUAUAUCCUAUGUGUCCUAUUCAUUUUUGUGUUUUCGUUUCAUCUUUCGAAACCCCUCCUCCUCCCUCUCCUCAGACUCUGCAGAGUCUCUGAAGGGGGGCGG
rnacentral:misc_RNA from 1 species